AUUGAACGCUGGCGGCAGGCCUAACACAUGCAAGUCGAGCGGUAGAGAGAAGCUUGCUUCUCUUGAGAGCGGCGGACGGGUGAGUAAUGCCUAGGAAUCUGCCUAGUGGUGGGGGAUAACGUUCGGAAACGGACGCUAAUACCGCAUACGUCCUACGGGAGAAAGCGGGGGAUCUUCGGACCUCGCGCCAUUAGAUGAGCCUAGGUCGGAUUAGCUAGUUGGUGAGGUAAUGGCUCACCAAGGCGACGAUCCGUAACUGGUCUGAGAGGAUGAUCAGUCACACUGGAACUGAGACACGGUCCAGACUCCUACGGGAGGCAGCAGUGGGGAAUAUUGGACAAUGGGCGAAAGCCUGAUCCAGCCAUGCCGCGUGUGUGAAGAAGGUCUUCGGAUUGUAAAGCACUUUAAGUUGGGAGGAAGGGUAGUAACCUAAUACGUUGCUACUUUGACGUUACCGACAGAAUAAGCACCGGCUAACUUCGUGCCAGCAGCCGCCGUAA
rnacentral:rRNA from 1 species